AUGUCCAUGUUUCCAAGCCCUGACUGGUGCGCGCCAGAGUCCCUCAUCAUCUCAUGGUCAAUGUGUGUGAACAGACCUGCUGUCUGUGUGACUGUCAUGCUGCUGCUCGCAGCGGCCCACAGUAAACGUGCCUGUGAUUAUACUGCCAUCAUCAGCACCUACAGGGCUCUCAUCCUGGUUGAGCUCCAGAACCUGAAUCUGACUGGUGCAUUUGACAUAUCAAAAGAAAAGGACCACUGUCCUUCUGAGAAGGUUCACCGUAUCCUGCGAUAUAUCUAUAAUAUGACCCAGAUCUUCAGCUGCUUGAGUGACAGCAGAAGACAGGAGCAUGCCGAUCACAUGACGAAGGUGGUAGGACAGAUGGAGCUGCUCAUCACACGAAACUGCCGCAAACCAGAACGACUGUUAAAUAGACGGAAAAAAGCAUCUUGCAAACCAGGGAAGAAAGCAAAAGGAAGACAGCGGCGGAGAGUGAAAAUGAUGGGAAUGCUUAUAAACUGCUGGCAGAGGCUGCUGAGUGUGACCGCUUAUUAAAUUACAGCAUACACAGGUCUCAGUUCAGCUCCACUACACAUUAUUUAAAACAUUAUGCACAUUAACUUUCCCUUCAUUGUUAUUUAUUCACUUUCACUUUUUAAUAAAAAAAGAAACACCGAGUGUUUUUUAGAAAAC
ensembl:lncRNA